GCGAUCGUCAGGGUCACCAUUAGAGAGUCCGGAAGAAAGUGUGGUCAUUUUGAACAUCUCACUCUGAGCCAGACGAGAGGUUUGGGUUUUGAGGGUCACAGACCCGUCUGUACUGCUCUUCUAAGAUCCCGCUGUUCUCCAUCGCGUAGCUCGGAUUUGGAGAAAUACACCCUCGAACUACCCUAAGGCUACAGAGGAGAGAGACGUGGGUGUCGAACCAGGUCCUUGGUCUGGCCCUUCUCUCUUGCUUCUGUUCCUCCAAUCUCCUGCGUGUGUUGGUGGAGAAACUGGCGGCAAAGGCAGGCAGGUGGGACCUUUCUCAGGUGCAGCCAUCUGCUGACGGCAGCCUGGAGCAGGCACACCACACCGAGGAGAGGGCAGCGAGAGUCCAGGUCCAGGGUGUGGCCAGAGGGCCUUCUCCACGGCUGCGUCCAGGCCCAUCAGGGUCCUGAGAUAUUAGGAACGAGUCAAAUUAAAGAGGAGAAUCUACUUUGAGACAGAUUUUAAGAAUUCAGUGACCACUAGCACAGAAUGUGAAAGGGCAGGAGCAGCCAUGAGAAUCCAGCGUCUGCUCUUAACUGAAUUCACUCCAACAGAACUAGGUUGAGGUUUGCGUUUUUUUCUUUCCCUCUUUGAAGCUAAAACUAAACACCCUCUUGGCUCUCUUCUACCUACAUUUAUUUAUUCAUUUAUUUAAAGUCUGCUUGUCUUAUGAUAGCAUGUAUGUGUGCAGGAUAGAGAAAGACGGAGUAGGGAGGGCACUUCCUCCGAGCAGUGACUCCUUUCCCCGGCCCUUCAGCUCAGCAGGGUCUUGGACAUCCCCAUCUGCCCUUUGCCAGCCGCCCUGAAGUCAGCCCUGUGGCUUCCAGUGCGGCUGCUGUUUGCUGCUCAGAGCUCCCAGGCGAGGCCUCCAUUUUUAUGUCUAAGAGUCUAUGAUGAUCAUUAAA